rnacentral:misc_RNA from 1 species
GAUGAAGAACGUAGCAAAAUGUGAUACUUGGUGUGAAUUGCAGAAUCCCGUGAACCAUCGAGUUUUUGAACGCAAGUUGCGCCCGAAGCCUUUUGGCCGAGGGCACGUCUGCCUGGGCGUCACGCAUCGCGUCGCCCCCCACAAUUCUCCGUAAAGGGAACGUGUGUUUUGGGGGCGGAUAUUGGUCUCCCGUGCUCAUGGCGUGGUUGGCCGAAAUAGGAGUCCUUUCGAUGGACGCACGAACUAGUGGUGGUCGUAAAAACCCUCGUCUUUUGUUUCGUGCUGUUGCUCGCAAGGUAAACUCUUUAAAAACCCCAAUGUGUCGUCUCUUGACGACGCUUCGACCGCGACCCCAGGUCAGGCGGGACUACCCGCUGAGUUUAAGCAUAUCAAUAGCGGAGGA